UGCUGUGAUGAGUUUGCUUCAGACUAGAGUCUCUGACUCUUUCGGUGAUGCUUUUCUAAGCUCUGAGCA